UACGUAGGGUGCGAGCGUUAAUCGGAAUUACUGGGCGUAAAGCGUGCGCAGGCGGUUCGCCAAGUCAGGUGUGAAAUCCCCGGGCUUAACCUGGGAAUUGCGCUUGAAACUAGCGGGCUUGAGUGUGGCAGAGGGGGGUGGGAAUUCCACGGUGUAGCAGUGAAAUGCGUAGAGAUGUGGAGGAACACCGAUGGCGAAGGCAGCCCCCCUGGGGUCAACACUGACGCUCAUGCACGAAAGCGUGGGGAGCAAACAGG
rnacentral:rRNA from 1 species